rnacentral:rRNA from 1 species
GACGUAGGGGGCCAGCGUUGUUCGGAAUUACUGGGUGUAAAGGGUUCGUAGGCGGUGUGGCAAGUCGGGAGUAAAAUCUCUGGGCUCAACCCAGAGUCUGCUUCCGAAACUGCUGUGCUUGAGUGUGGGAGAGGCGCGUGGAAUUGCAGGUGUAGCGGUGAAAUGCGUAGAUAUCGUAAGGAAGACCAGUGGCGAAGGCGGGUCUCUGGACAGUUCCUGACGCUGAGGCACGAAGGUCAGGGGAGCAAACGGG